rnacentral:rRNA from 1 species
UGGCCAGACUCCUACGGGGGCAGCAGUGAGGAAUAUUGGUCAAUGGUCGGGAGACUGAACCAGCCAAGCCGCGUGAGGGAUGAAGGUACAGAGUAUCGUAAACCUCUUUUGUCAGGGAGCAAGGUGCAGGUCGGGACCUGCUGUGAGAGUACCUGAAGAAAAAGCAUCGGCUAACUCCGUGCCAGCAGCCGCGGUAAUACGGAGGAUGCGAGCGUUAUCCGGAUUUAUUGGGUUUAAAGGGUGCGCAGGCGGCACGGCAAGCCGGCGGUCAAAUCGCGGGGCUCAACCCCGCCCAGCCGUCGGAACUGCCGGGCUAGAGUGGGCGAGAAGUGCGCGGAAUGCGUGGUGUAGCGGUGAAAUGCAUAGAUAUCACGCAGAACUCCGAUUGCGAAGGCAGCGCACCGGCGCCCUACUGACGCUCAGGCACGAAAGCGUGGGUAUCGAACAGGAUUAGAUACCCCUGUA